UACGGAGGUGGCAAGCGUUGCUCGGAAUCACUGGGCGUAAAGGGCGCGUAGGCGGGGAGGUAAGUCGGGUGUGAAAUCCCUCGGCCCAACCGAGGAACUGCGCCCGAGACUGCUUCUCUUGAGUCCCGGAGAGGAAGAUGGAAUUCCCGGUGUAGCGAUGAAAUGUGUAGAGAUCGGGAGGAACACCGGUGGCGAAGGCGGUCUUUUGGACGGUGACUGACGCUGAGGCGCGAAAGCGUGGGGAGCAAACGGG
rnacentral:rRNA from 1 species